GAAAGCCUUGCUGAAGUUUACUUUGCCAACGGAGGUGACUUAAACCUGACUGUUGAGAUGCUCACUCAAUUAGAGCUUCAAGUUGAUGGUGGGAUAAGUCAAAAUCUGAAUUCCAAGACAAUGUCUGCCCCCAAUCUUAGUGCAAUGGACUUUCCUGCACUUACAGUGUCAGGUGGUCAAAAUGGCCAUCCAAAAUUCGAUGGUGCUGAUCUUCAACAAAGUACCAAUCCUUAUCUUUCUUCUGAUAAGGAUGGCAUGCUUUUCUUCAAGUCCAGCUCCGGUCCAUCUAGAGGUGCCACUGAUUUUGCUUCCACUGUCAGGAAAUUGGCAUCUCAGGAUUCCGGCAUAUGGAAGUACAAUGGAAACGGUUCUGCUGAUGACUCUAUUGGCUCGAGUAGAAGUUCUCAUAUUUUAGCUAGCAAAUACUCUACUGGUGGUCAUGGGAAAGACACCUAUAGUGAGAGGUUGCUACACCGUGGUUCAACUCGGGCUGCUCCAGUUUGGCUUGAAACAGGCGAAGCAGUUGCAAACAUGUAUUCUGAGCAGCGGGAGGAAGCACGUGAUCAUGCACGUCUGCGAAAUGCAUAUUUUGAACAGGCACGACAAGCGUACCUCAUUGGUAAUAAGGCUCUAGCAAAGGAGCUAAGUGUAAAGGGACAGUUACAUAAUAUGCACAUGAAGGCAGCUCAUGGAAGGGCCCAAGAAUCUAUUUAUCGGCAGAGGAAUCAUUUAGGCACAGACAAUCAGGGAAAUGGAAGGGGACACGAACGUAUGAUCGACCUGCAUGGGCUGCAUGUUAGUGAAGCAAUUCAUGUCUUGAAGCACGAGCUGAGUGUGCUGAGGGGUACUGCCAGGGCCUCCGGACAACGUCUGCAGGUUUAUAUUUGUGUUGGAACAGGACACCACACCCGGGGCUCCCGCACUCCUGCUAGACUUCCAGUGGCUGUACAGAGAUAUUUGAUCGAAGAGGAAGGACUCGACUUUAGCGAGCCGCAACCAGGACUGCUUAGAGUUGUGAUUUAUUGAGCCAUGGAGGAAGGAGAGAGCACAGUGAAGUGUUAGGAG
rnacentral:misc_RNA from 1 species